AAAGAAGAGCAACAAGUCUGUGACUGACAUUUGCUUUAAAUAAAAGGAAGUGUUUGUAAUUGCAAACCCAAAAUUAAAAUGCCAUCAGUAGCAUUAAUAAUCAUCAGUCCUGUCCUUCAUUUUCACUAAUGCUAGUGUUUAUUUAUUCAUUAACUUAUGAUUAUCUUAGAGAAAUUAAUUGAGGGUUAUCUAAAUGAGAAACUGGAAAGUCUCAUGGAAUCUCCUCUAGCAAAGACAAUGCCCUUUCAACCUGUGCUGACUAAAACAGAGUGGUCAGUCUUGCUUUCUUAUCCCUGGCAUCUGCUGUGGGUCUUUCCAGAGUGGAAAAAGGGUAAGGUAUUAUCAAGCGAUUUUUCUCACAUUACAUCAAAAUCACUGGCAAUUCAUCCAAGUUUUAAUCAGAAAACUAUAGCUAGUUCAGUGAGAGAAAAAUGGAAAAAAUUUCUUUUGCUGUACCUGUUAUGUGUGGGGGCAUUGGUUAGAUGAAACCAAUUAUUUGGUUGGUUAAAGUUUUUGUUUAGUGGUUUCUUUUUCUUUUUUUUUUUUUUAUAAAACAGACACAUCUGGGACCAUACAAAAAGUCUAAGAACUCCUAAAAGGGUCAAACGGCCAAAGCAGAGCGGACACCAUCUCUCCCUGAGUGCCUAUACCUUUGCUCUAAUGCCUAAUCGACUUCAGAAGCUACGUACUCAAACAUAAUGUGAAGCGUUAUUCUUCCUCCAAGUCAGUAAUCGUCACCAACAUCGGUGGGGCAGGAGAAGAGGAAGAUGAAGGAAAAGAAAGAGAAACCAGCCACCUGGACUCAUGGAGAGGGAAGACCCUCUGGAGGCCUUGGAACAUGGAAUUGUCUUAUCGGAAGACCAUUCCUGUGCCUCUAAUAAAGGAAAAUUAGCCCUGAGCUAACAUCUGUGCCAAUCUUCCUCUACUUUGUAUGUGGGAUGCCUCCACAGCAUGGCUGAUGAGUGGAGCAAGUCUGCACCCUGGAUCCGAACCAGCGAACCUGGGCCACCAAAGCAGAGAGUGCAGAACUUUAACCGCUCGACCCUGGACGGACCCCCUAUGCAUUUGCUUGUAUUUUUGAUGAACCUCAUCUACACGCUCCAAAUUCCUAAUUUGCAAAACCUGGAAUGAGUCAGAUAAGCUUUUCACGCCUGAGCACUAACAUGAGGUUGCUGGUCUGAAACAUUUCCAAGGUUCCCUCCAACAUUCUGGCCAAUGCACUAUGUUCUCUGAUUUUCAGGCCCAUGCUUUGAUUUGGAUAUAAUUCUCUCAUUUCUAUACUUUGACAACUCUAGACAAGUCUGAGAUGUCUUCCUGACCCACUGUGGUCUAUUCCUCUUCUUCCUUCUCCAUAUUCCCAGUGAAUAGCUCCUCCGUAUCCAAGAUGAUAGAUGUCUGAGAACCUACCAUCCUGUGCAGAUGACUGUGUGUGUCUAGUCUUGGAACUCUUCAAAAAUAAGGACAGCACAUUUUAUCUUAUAUUCCUGCACAUAGUAUAGUUCUUGGCACAUAACAGACGUGCAAUGAGUAAACACUGACACUCUCUUAUACACAUUUCAUGGCCAGUACUGUGUGGGUUCUUGUUUGAGAACAGUUACGUAAGUACAGAAUAGGUUCAGGAUAUGACAGAUUGUGGUUAUUUUGGAUAAAAUUUAAAAUGACCCAAUUUUAAGCACAGUUAAGAGGUUCUUGGACAUAUGAAGAAUGCUCAUGUUUGCCUCAGGGAUAUUAACUAAGGAAAGAAAAACAUCUUUAGUACAAACAUCAUUGAAAUUACAUUUAAAGACGUCUUGCCAAUUCAUCAUACACAG
rnacentral:lncRNA from 1 species